UACGUAGGGGGCAAGCGUUGUCCGGAAUUAUUGGGCGUAAAGGGCGCGUAGGCGGCUUAGCAAGUGACGGGUGAAAUCCCUCGGCUUAACCGGGGAACUGCGUCUGAUACUGGAUGGCUUGAGUUUGGGAGAGGGACGCGGAAUUCCAGGUGUAGCGGUGAAAUGCGUAGAUAUCUGGAGGAACACCGGUGGCGAAGGCGGCGUCCUGGACCAACACUGACACUGAGGAGCGAAAGCCAGGGGAGCAAACGGG
rnacentral:rRNA from 1 species